GAAUUGCGAAAAGUAAUGUGAAUUGCAUAAUUCCGUGAAUCAUCAAAUCUUUGAACGCACCUUGCGCUAGCUGGAAUUCCGGCUAGCAUGCCUGUUUGAGUAUCAGUUUACCUAAUCACCUCACGGUGGACUUGGGCGGCGUAUCUUACCCGCUUUAAAUAUAUGAGUGCUACACCAAGUGCCAAUAGAGCCAGUCCCUCGGGAAUGUCUAUUAGUAACUAGUCGAAUCCUCUAAUCAACUGAAUCAAUGAUCUCAAAUCAAGCAAGACAACCCGCUGAACUUAA
rnacentral:misc_RNA from 1 species